AAAAGAUGAAAUGGGACGCAGUCUAUCCUAUUAAUAAGUCAUUUUGGUUGUAAAACUGAUCGUCGUUCAUUCAAAAUGUCAAACAUCCUCUUCUAAACUCAAUUAUAUCCAUUAAUUAUUGUGAAUUUGAUGAUUAACCAUCAUUUUUAUUCUUUUUCCACUCUUAAAUGACCAGAUGCAUAACUUUCUAUUCUGACACUUGUUCUCAUUUUUCAUGU
rnacentral:lncRNA from 1 species